AUACGGAGGAUCCGAGCGUUAUCCGGAUUUAUUGGGUUUAAAGGGAGCGUAGGCGGACUAUUAAGUCAGCUGUGAAAGUUUGCGGCUCAACCGUAAAAUUGCAGUUGAUACUGGUCGUCUUGAGUGCAGUAGAGGUAGGCGGAAUUCGUGGUGGAGCGGUGAAAUGCUUAGAUAUCACGAAGAACUCCGAUUGCGAAGGCAGCUUACUGGACUGUAACUGACGCUGAUGCUCGAAAGUGUGGGUAUCAAACAGGAUUAGAUACCCUGGUAGUCCACACAGUAAACGAUGAAUACUCGCUGUUUGCGAUAUACGGCAAGCGGCCAAGCGAAAGCAUUAAGUAUUCCACCUGGGGAGUACGCCGGCAACGGUGAAACUCAAAGGAAUUGACGGGG
rnacentral:rRNA from 1 species